UACGGAGGAUGCGAGCGUUAUCCGGAUUUAUUGGGUUUAAAGGGAGCGUAGACGGUGAUGUAAGUCUGGAGUGAAAGGCGGGGGCCCAACCCCCGGACUGCUCUGGAAACUAUGUGACUGGAGUGCAGGAGAGGUGAGCGGAAUUCCUAGUGUAGCGGUGAAAUGCGUAGAUAUUAGGAGGAACACCAGUGGCGAAGGCGGCUCACUGGACUGUAACUGACGCUGAGGCUCGAAAGCAUGGGUAGCGAACAGG
rnacentral:rRNA from 1 species